CAAGGGCAGCUAGGAGGUCAGACGAAGGAACGAAGGGAGGGAGGAAGGUGAAUCUGUUUACCUCGAGAAAGGACCCCAGGGAGUCCCAAACCCGCUGUUCGGGAUCGGCACGAUCAAUCCUCUCGAUGACCUCAGGCAGGAUGCAGUCAUCAAUCAGCCGCUUUAUCAGGUCCCUGUCAUUAAAGGGAUUCUUCCCCGGCUCUCCUUCAAAACCAAGGGACUCUUCAACG
rnacentral:lncRNA from 1 species